rnacentral:misc_RNA from 1 species
GUUUGGACUUCUACCCACACAACAGCCUAAGGAGGUCUGUUGAAGAAAGACAAAGUGAACAGAUCUAACCAUAACAUGAAAAUAUUGGACAAAAAGGAGACUCUCUUGAUGACACUGUUGACAUUUCCCAUUGUCCGUUUAUUUUGUGUAAAUUCCCAAUUCCCAAUUCAUUUAUAUCAUCAUUGUGAACAUUUUUAUCUUAUCUGAAAUAUGCCAAAUAAAAUCCAUCAUCAGCU